AUGAUGUUGUCCAGAAUGCGAUUAGAAAGAGGAGAAUCCACCGGAAGAAAACACGGACGUGGAGGAAAAGCACCGUCACAACUCGCGGCGGACAAAGGGAGUUAUACCGCAAAAACUUGCGGUGGAAGGAGCAAGAGAACAGACGCACGGAGGCGAACCGGUGGGGAGACUAGACGGGAGUUGCAUGGGAAUGUGAGAGGAGGAGUUUCAAACUUAUUCCAUUUUUUUGUUGAUUUGUGA